UCCCGUUGAUCCUGCGGGAGGCUGCUGCUAUUGGAGUUCGAUUUAGCCAUGCAAGUUAAGGGGGUUCUUCGGAACCACCGGCGAAAUGCUCAGUAACACGUCAUUAAUCUGGUCUAUGCUUCUGGAUAACCUCGGAAACCUGAGGGUAAUACGGAAUAGAGAAUUCUUCCUGGAAUGGUGUUUUCUUGAAAGAUAACGGCAUAGAAUGAGAUGGCGGCAGAUUAGAUUGUUGGUGGGGUAAAGGCCCACCAAGUCUAUGAUCUGUAGGGGCCUUGAGAGAGGGAGCCCCGAGAAGGGUACUGAGACACUGACCCUAGCCCUACGGGGUGCAGCAGGCACGAAACCUUUACAAUGCACUAACGUGUGAUAAGGGAACUCCAAGUGCUCAUACAUUGUAUGGGCUUUUGUAUAGAGUAAAUAUCUAUACGAAUAAGUGGUGGGAAAGACUGGUGCCAGCCGCCGCGGUAACACCAGCGCCACGAGUGGGAGCCAUGUUUAUUGGGCCUAAAGCGUUCGUAGUCGGUUUGUUAAAUUUUCUGUGAAAUUAUCGGGCUUAACCUGAUAGCGUGCAGGAAAGACUGGCAAACUAGGAACCGGGAGGAGUGUGAGGUAUUUCUUGGGGAGCGGUAAAAUGUUAUAAUCCUUGAAAGACCACCUGUGGCGAAGGCGUCACACUAGAACGGAUUCGACGAUGAGGAACGAAAGCCAGGGGAGCGAUCCGGAUUAGAUACCCGAGUAGUCCUGGCCGUAAACGCUGCGAGCUAGGUGUUGCAUAUACCACGAGUAUAUGCAGUAUCGGAGCGAAGGUGUUAAGCUCGCCGCCUGGGGAGUACGGUCGCAAGGCUGAAACUUAAAGGAAUUGGCGGGGGAGCACAACAAGGGGUGCGGCGUGCGGUUUAAUUGAACUCAACGCCGGGAAUCUCACCAGCAGCGACGGCAGAAUGAAGGUCAGAUUGAAGGUCUUACCUGACAAGCCGAGAGGUGGUGCAUGGCCGUCGUCAGCUCGUGCCGUAAGGUGUCCUGCUAAGCCAGGUAACGAGCGAGACCUGUACCCACAAUUGCUAACAUCCUUCUUUGAGGGUGUGCACAGUGUGGGGACUGCCAUGGAAACAAGGAGGAAGGUGCAGGCAACGAUAGGUCUGUAUGCCCCGAAUCUGCUGGGCUACACGCGCGCAACAAUGGUAAGGACAAUGGGAUGCGACUCCGAAAGGAGAAGCUAAACCUCGAAACCUUAUCUUAGUUCAGAUUGAGGUUUGUAACUCAGCCUCAUGACGACGGAAUCCCUAGUAAUCAGAGGUCAUCAUCCUCCGGUGAAUAUGUCCCUGCUCCUUGUACACACCGCCCGUCAAACCACUCGAGUAGGGUUUAGGUGAGGAUUAGCUUCUUGGCUAACUCGAAUCUAAGCUUUGCGAGAUGGGUUAAGUCGUCACAAGGUA
rnacentral:rRNA from 1 species